UACGAGAGGCCCAAACGUUAUUCGGAAUUACUGGGCUUAAAGAGUUCGUAGGCGGCGCGGAAAGUGGGGUGUGAAAGCCCUCGGCUCAACCGAGGAAUUGCGCUCCAAACUGCCGUGCUCGAGGACUGGAGAGGAGACUGGAAUUUACGGUGUAGCGGUGAAAUGCGUAGAUAUCGUAAGGAAGACCAGUGGCGAAGGCGGGUCUCUGGACAGUUCCUGACGCUGAGGCACGAAGGUCAGGGGAGCAAACAGG
rnacentral:rRNA from 1 species